UACGUAGGCAGCAAGCGUUGUUCGGAGUUACUGGGCGUAAAGGGUGUGUAGGCGGUUCUUUUUUUAAGUUUGGUGUGAAAUCUCCCGGCUCAACCGGGAGGGUGCGCCGAAUACUGAGGGACUAGAGUGUGGGAGAGGAAAGUGGAAGUUCCUGGUGUAGCGGUGAAAUGCGUAGAUAUCAGGAGGAACACCGGUGGUGUAGACGGCUUUCUGGACCAUAACUGACGCUGAGACACGAAAGCGUGGGUAGCAAACAGG
rnacentral:rRNA from 1 species